rnacentral:rRNA from 1 species
UACAGAGGUCCCAAGCGUUUGUUCGGAUUCAUUGGGCGUAAAGCGCGCGUAGGCGGUUACUUAAGUUGGAUGUGAAAGCCCUCGGCUUAACCGAGGAAGUGCAUCCAAAACUGAGUAGCUAGAGUACGAAAGAGGGUCGCGGAAUUCCCGGUGUAGAGGUGAAAUUCGUAGAUAUCGGGAGGAACACCGGUGGCGAAGGCGGCGACCUGGGUCGAGACUGACGCUGAGGCGCGAAAGCGUGGGGAGCAAACAGG